rnacentral:rRNA from 1 species
GAGGUCCAACCUGCCCAGUGAUAUCAAUUCAACGGCCGCGGUAUACUAACCGCGCUAAGGUAGCGCAAUCACUUGUCUCUUAAAUAGGGACUAGUAUGAAAGGACCCACGAGAAUCUAACUGUCUCCUUUUUUUAAUCCGUGAAACUAAUCUCCCCGUGAAGAAGCGAGGAUCAUAAUAUAAGACGAGAAGACCCUAUGGAGCUUAAGAUAAUACAAUAAUUUCUUUUUCCCCCCCUUUUCCAGAAAGAUACCUCCCCAAAGCACUUUAUUGUUAAACUUCGGUUGGGGCGACCGCGGAGUAAAACUAACCCUCCACGCAAGUGGUAAUCCCCCCACAACAAAGAGCUACAACUCUAUGAACCAAAAAUUGUUAAUUGACCCAAUAUUUGAUCAACGAAACAAGUUACCCUAGGGAUAACAGCGCAGUGGGG